ACUGGCGCAGCUUAACAUGCAAGUCGAACGGUAACAGGGAGCUUGCUCCGCUGACGAGUGGCGAACGGGUGAGUAAUACAUCGGAACGUGCCCAGUAAUGGGGGAUAGCUCGGCGAAAGCCGGAUUAAUACCGCAUACGCCCUGAGGGGGAAAGUGGGGGACCGCAAGGCCUCACGUUAUUGGAGCGGCCGAUGGCUGAUUAGCUAGUUGGUAGGGUAAAGGCCUACCAAGGCGACGAUCAGUAGCUGGUCUGAGAGGACGAUCAGCCACACUGGGACUGAGACACGGCCCAGACUCCUACGGGAGGCAGCAGUGGGGAAUUUUGGACAAUGGGGGAAACCCUGAUCCAGCAAUGCCGCGUGUGCGAAGAAGGCCUUCGGGUUGUAAAGCACUUUUGUCAGGGAAGAAAUCCUUUGGGCUAAUACCCUAGGGGGAUGACGGUACCUGAAGAAUAAGCACCGGCUAACUACGUGCCAGCAGCCGCGGUAAUACGUAGGGUGCAAGCGUUAAUCGGAAUUACUGGGCGUAAAGCGUGCGCAGGCGGUUGUGUAAGACAGGUGUGAAAUCCCCGGGCUUAACCUGGGAAUUGCAUUUGUGACUGCACGACUAG
rnacentral:rRNA from 1 species